GGUUUCAGUGAUGAGCAAUUCGAGAAAGUCAUGCACCACUCUGAUAUAGAUCCGUAAUGGAUUAUGUGCUGAGAAUUUUCUCUACCCAAUAUUUCUCUGAGCCC
rfam:Eutrema salsugineum unplaced genomic scaffold scaffold_1, whole genome shotgun sequence.